CUCAGCCUGAAAAGUUGCAUUUUGUAUUUUUUUCAGACAGUAACAACUUGCUAGUUAUCCUACAAAACAGCUUGUUGGUCCGGAAAACAAGUCCUCAAUCUUUUACCAGUUUUUCCUCUUCCUUCUUUCUCUUGAGUUCCUCGAUUUCCUUCCUUCGCUCUGCGCGUUGGCGUGCGCGGGCCUCCAUGGCUUCAGUGAGAGGGAGAGAGCUGAACUUGCAGACUGACCUGUGAUGAUUGGAUGAAGGCACGUCUGGCGUGUGACAGCUUUCCUCGGAGGUGCACAGAGACUGUCAGGUUCUCCAGUAACUCUCGGUGCCCUGCAACAAUCACAGCCGGUAGGACCAAAACAAAGACCCGUCAUAACUCUGUCUGCACAUUCACAUCCUCCUGAUCCUUGCCUGGCAAAUUUUACUCAGACAGGUAUGGACUUCAGGCAAACUCAACCGACAUGCAUCCUACUGUCCAUAAAUCUAUAAAUGACUUUCUGUUUUACUCAAGAAACUGUGUUCAAGGUUGUAUGGACUUCUUGAAAAGUGUAUUUAAUCUGUUAUGACAUAAAUAUAUAAUUAUAUAAGGAAUUAAUGUUCAAAAUAUUAAACUUUUGCACAAC